rnacentral:rRNA from 1 species
UUACUCUGAAUGUGUCCGAUGUUUUCGGAUCUCAGAAGCCAAGCAGUGUUGAGCCUGGAUAGUACUUGGAUAGGGGACCACCAGAGCUUUCCAGGU